GAUGAACGCUGGCGGCGUGCCUAAUACAUGCAAGUCGAGCGAACAGACGAGGAGCUUGCUCCUCUGACGUUAGCGGCGGACGGGUGAGUAACACGUGGAUAACCUACCUAUAAGACUGGGAUAACUUCGGGAAACCGGAGCUAAUACCGGAUAAUAUACUGAACCGCAUGGUUCAAUAGUGAAAGACGGUUUUGCUGUCACUUAUAGAUGGAUCCGCGCCGCAUUAGCUAGUUGGUAAGGUAACGGCUUACCAAGGCAACGAUGCGUAGCCGACCUGAGAGGGUGAUCGGCCACACUGGAACUGAGACACGGUCCAGACUCCUACGGGAGGCAGCAGUAGGGAAUCUUCCGCAAUGGGCGAAAGCCUGACGGAGCAACGCCGCGUGAGUGAUGAAGGUCUUCGGAUCGUAAAACUCUGUUAUUAGGGAAGAACAAAUGUGUAAGUAACUAUGCACGUCUUGACGAUACCUAAUCAGAAAGCCACGGCUAACUACGUG
rnacentral:rRNA from 1 species